GGGGUUGUGACUCAGUGAUAGAGCACUUGCCUAGUGUGCAUGAGGCACUGGGUUCAACCCCCAGCACCA
rnacentral:tRNA from 1 species